GCCCUGUGAGUUACGACUUUAACGGCCGCGGUACUCUGACCGUGCAAAGGUAGCAUAAUCCCAUGCUUUUUAAUUGAAGGCUAGUAUGAAUGGACCAACGAGCGAUUUAUUGUCUCACUUUUAAACUUAUAAAUUAUUAUUUAUGUGAAGAAACAUAAAUUUCACUAAAAGACAAGAAGACCCUGUGGAGUUUUAUUAUACGAAAUAACCGUCUGACUAUUGAAAAUAAGUUAACCAGUUUUUUUAUAAUUUGAUUGGGGCAAUCGAUGGCUAAACCUACCGCCACCCAAGAAAAAGAUUCAACAUCUAUAAUUCCACCCUUAAGAAAGAAGAGUAAAUAAUUCUACUACCCCAGGGAUAACAGACCAAUCCUCUUAAAGAGCCCGAAUCGUAAAGGGGGAGUGGCACCUCGAUGUUGGCUUAGGGAAGCUUUUAAAUGCAGCAGUUUAAUAAGCUGGUUUGUUCAACCAUUAAACCCCU
rnacentral:rRNA from 1 species